GUAUAGGGCACACCACCCUGAAUGUGCCUGAUCUCAUCUGAUCUUGGAGGCUAAGCAGGGCUGGGCCUGGUAAGUGCUUGGAUGGGAGAUCUCCUGGGAAUACCGGGUGCUGUAGACU
ensembl:rRNA 5S_rRNA 5S ribosomal RNA